GUUUGAAGUUCUUGCCAGAAAUUUAUCAUUCAUAUGUGAGAAAAGAGUCUUUGUAAUCACAACAAAUCCCCAAGAAGGAUCCAUAAAGUACGCAUGAAUGCAUUUUUGUUUGAAGUUCUUGCCAGAAAUUUAUCAUUCAUAUGUGAAAAAAGAGUCUUUGUAAUCACAACAAAUCUCCAAGAAGGAUCCAUAAAGUACGCAUGAAUGCAUUUUUGUUUGAAGUUCUUGCCAGAAAUUUAUCAUUCAUAUGUGAAAAAAGAGUCUUUGUAAUCACAACAAAUCUCCAAGAA